UGCUGCUUUGCUGACGAGUGGCGGACGGGUGAGUAAUGUCUGGGAAACUGCCUGAUGGAGGGGGAUAACUACUGGAAACGGUAGCUAAUACCGCAUAACGUCGCAAGACCAAAGAGGGGGACCUUAGGGCCUCUUGCCAUCGGAUGUGCCCAGAUGGGAUUAGCUAGUAGGUGGGGUAACGGCUCACCUAGGCGACGAUCCCUAGCUGGUCUGAGAGGAUGACCAGCCACACUGGAACUGAGACACGGUCCAGACUCCUACGGGAGGCAGCAGUGGGGAAUAUUGCACAAUGGGCGCAAGCCUGAUGCAGCCAUGCCGCGUGUAUGAAGAAGGCCUUCGGGUUGUAAAGUACUUUCAGCGGGGAGGAAGGGAGUAAAGUUAAUACCUUUGCUCAUUGACGUUACCCGCAGAAGAAGCACCGGCUAACUCCGUGCCAGCAGCCGCGGUAAUACGGAGGGUGCAAGCGUUAAUCGGAAUUACUGGGCGUAAAGCGCACGCAGGCGGUUUGUUAAGUCAGAUGUGAAAUCCCCGGGCUCAACCUGGGAACUGCAUCUGA
rnacentral:rRNA from 1 species